GUCCGUACACAUGUGAUUCUCCCCCGCCGAAGAUGUCGUCCGGGGCCCCCAUGUUAGCGGCGGCCGGGUGAGUAACACGUGGGUAACCUGCCUGUAAGACUGGGAUAACUCCGGGAAACCGGGGCUAAUACCGGAUGGUUGUUUGAACCGCAUGGUUCAGACAUAAAAGGUGGCUUCGGCUACCACUUACAGAUGGACCCGCGGCGCAUUAGCUAGUUGGUGAGGUAACGGCUCACCAAGGCGACGAUGCGUAGCCGACCUGAGAGGGUGAUCGGCCACACUGGGACUGAGACACGGCCCAGACUCCUACGGGAGGCAGCAGUAGGGAAUCUUCCGCAAUGGACGAAAGUCUGACGGAGCAACGCCGCGUGAGUGAUGAAGGUUUUCGGAUCGUAAAGCUCUGUUGUUAGGGAAGAACAAGUGCCGUUCAAAUAGGGCGGCACCUUGACGGUACCUAACCAGAAAGCCACGGCUAACUACGUGCCAGCAGCCGCGGUAAUACGUAGGUGGCAAGCGUUGUCCGGAAUUAUUGGGCGUAAAGGGCUCGCAGGCGGUUUCUUAAGUCUGAUGUGAAAGCCCCCGGCUCAACCGGGGAGGGUCAUUGGAAACUGGGGAACUUGAGUGCAGAAGAGGAGAGUGGAAUUCCACGUGUAGCGGUGAAAUGCGUAGAGAUGUGGAGGAACACCAGUGGCGAAGGCGACUCUCUGGUCUGUAACUGACGCUGAGGAGCGAAAGCGUGGGGAGCGAACAGGAUUAGAUACCCUGGUAGUCCACGCCGUAAACGAUGAGUGCUAAGUGUUAGGGGGUUUCCGCCCCUUAGUGCUGCAGCUAACGCAUUAAGCACUCCGCCUGGGGAGUACGGUCGCAAGACUGAAACUCAAAGGAAUUGACGGGGGCCCGCACAGCGGUGGGAGCAUGUGU
rnacentral:rRNA from 2 species